GCUUAUAAGGGGCACGAGCGUCUGGGGGCUGCCAGAAUGGCUCCCGCUCAGUGCGCGGUGCCAGCAUGUGUCAUGUCCCGGCUGUGUUUCUGGGGCCUGUGGCCCCUCCUCACGUGGCAACUAUUGUGGCCACUAGUCAAGGAGGCUCAGCCUCUAGAGUGGGUCAAGGAUUUGCUCCAGCUGACCUCUAACCCCCGGGGGCCGCCUGAGCCCUGGUCUUCUGCUCCUCCCAUCUCCAAUGGGAAUCUCCCCAUGCACCUAUUGCCCCAGCAGACCCGGGGGACUUUGACUACAUGGGGCCCUCUGCUUCCUCGCAGAUGUCAGCCCCACCCCAGGAAUCAACUGAAAAUUUGGUUCCAUUCCUGGACACGGAUUCAGCUGGAGAGCUGCCCCUAGGACCAGAGCAGUUCUCGGUUGCACACCAGGAUUUCAAUGACAAGCUGACUCUGCAAGAAAGGCUCCCAGAGGUGGUUACAAUGCUGGACAGGGAUCAGAACCAGACCCUAGUUCAGCCUCCUCGCCUCACAAGUAAGGUUCAAACUGCAGAUCUAGAUCGGGCUGCAGGUCAUCAGGCAGAUGAAAUACUUGUUCCACUAGACAGUAAGGUUUCAAAACCAACCAAAUUUAUUGUUUCGCCCAAGAACUUGAAGAAAGAUCUAGCUCAGCGCUGGCACAUUGCUGAGAUUGUUGGAAUUCCACAGCAAUUAUCCAAACCUCAGCGUUAGAAACAGACUUUGUAGGAUGAAUAUUCGAGUAUGGAUACACUGUAUCCCGGCAGCCUGCCUCCAGAACUCCAGGUGAACUCAGAUGAGCCUCCAGGGUCCCCUGAGCAAGUUGGACUUUCUGAAUUCCAUCUAGAGCCUGAAACUCAAAAUCCAGAGACCCUUGAAGACAUCCAGUCCUCUUCACUCCAGGAAGAAGCCCCAGCGCAGCUUCCACAGCUCCUUCUUCAACCCAGCAGGAGGCCCCAGCUCUGCCUCCAGAGUCCUCUAUGGAGAGUCUAGCUCAAACUCUACCAAAUCAUGAGGUGACAGUUCAACCUCCAGGUGAGGAUCAAGUUCAUCAUAACUUGCCCAACAUUACAGUUAAACCUGCAGAUGUGGAGGUUACCGUAACUUCGGAGCCUACCAAUGAGACACAAUCUUCCCAAGCCCAGCAGGAGGCCCCAGUUCAGUUUCCAGAGGAGGUUGAACCUUCUAUAGCCCUGAUGACUACAGCUCCUCCUCCAGAACACCCUGAGGUGACACUUCCACCUUCAGACAAGGGUCAGGCUCAGCAUUCAAACCUGACUCAAGUCACACUUCCACUUCUAGACCUGGAGCUUACCAUAACUACAGAACCUACUACAGAGGUUAAACCGUCUCCAACCACGGAGGAGACCUCAACUCAGCCUCCAGACCUGGGGCUUGCCAUAACUCCAGAGCCCACUACAGAGACUGGACAUUCUACAGCCCUGGAGAAGACUACAGCUCCUCGUCCAGACCACGUUCAGACUCUGCAUUGAAAACUGACUGAAGUCACAGGUCCACCUACUGAACUAGAACCUACUCAGGAUUCAUUGGUGCAAUCUGAAAGUUACACCCAAAAUAAGGCUUUAACUGCACCAGAGGGACAGAAGGCUUCCACAAGCACCAACAUAUGUGAGCUCUGUACCUGCGGAGAUGAGACGCUGUCGUGUAUUGAUCUCAGCCCAAAACAGAGGCUCCGCCAAGUGCCUGUGCCAGAGCCCAACACCUACAAUGGCACCUUCACUAUCUUAAAUUUCCAAGGAAACUAUAUUUCUUACAUUGAUGGAAAUGUAUGGAAGGCAUACAGUUUGACCAAGAAACUAAUUCUCAGUGAAAAUUAUUUGACUGAAUUACAUAAGGAUUCAUUUGAAGGCCUGCUAUCCCUCCAGUAUUUAGAUUUAUCCUGCAAUAAAAUACAGUCUAUUGAAAGACGUACAUUUGAACCACUACCAUUUUUGCAGUUUCUAAAUCUUGGUUGCAAUUUACUCACAGAAGUGAGCUUUGGAACAUUUCAGGCCUGGCAUAGAAUGCAGUUUUUACACAAGUUAAUUCUCAAUCGCAAUCCUCUGACAACUGUUGAAGAUCCAUAUCUCUUUAAAUUGUCAGCAUUAAAAUAUCUAGACAGGGGCACAAUGCAAGUCCCACUUACAACAAUUGAGAACAUUCUCAUGAUGACAGUUGAACUGGAGAAACUGAUCUUACCUAGCCAUAUGGCCUGCUGCCUCUGCCAAUUUAAAAAUAGCAUUGAGGCUGUCUGCAAGACAGUCAAGCUACAUUCCAACAGUGCAUGUCUGACAAACACCAUACAUUGUCCUGAAGAAGCAUCUGUAGAGAAUCCAGAAGGAGUGUUCAUGAAGGUGUUACAAGCCCGAAAGAAGCACACGAGCACUGAGCUGACUAUUGAGCCGGAGGCAGCCUCAGACAGCAAUGGCAUCAAUUUGUCAGGCUUUGGGAGUGAUCAGUUUGAAAUUCAGCUAACCCAACAGCUACGUUCCCUCAUCCCCAACAACGUGAGAAGGCUCAUUUCUCAUGUUAUCUGGACCUUGAAGAUGGACUGCUCUGAGACCCAUGUGCAAUUGACCUGUGCCAAGCUCAUCUCCAGGACAGGCCUCCUGAUGAAGCUUCUAAGUGAGCAGCAAGAAGUAAAGGUGUCCAAGGCAGAAUGGGAUACAGACCAGUGGAAAACUGAGAACUAUAUCAAUGAGAGCAUGGAAGCCCAGAAUGAACAGAAAGAGCAGAAGUCGAGUGAGCUCACAAAAGAAGUUCCAGGAUAUGGCUAUAACAACAAACUCAUCUGGCAAUAUCUGUGACAGAAAUACUAAUGACUUGAUUAUAAUUUUUUGCCUCAUUGAGAUUUAUUCUCACCGAAAGUCAUCACAAGAAGAUGGAGAAGGAUUCUCAAGGGGCAUUUUCAGAUUUCUGCCACAGACGAGAUGCUCUUCGCGAAGUGAGACUCAGGAUGGAUCUUUCUCAUUCAGACAGCCACUGUGGCUUAAAGAUAUGUACAAACCUCUCAGUGCCACAAGAGUAAAUAACCCAGCAUGGAAGCUGCACAAGAAGUCAUCUAAUGAGGACAAGAUCCCCAUCUGAUGAGGACAGUGAAACCCCAACAGAGAAGGGGGAGGAGAGUGAAACCCUGCCACGG